UACGUAGGCAGCAAGCGUUGUUCGGAAUUACUGGGCGUAAAGAGUACGUAGGUGGUUUUGCCAAGUCCGAUGUGAAAUCUCCUGGCUUAACUGGGAGGGUGCGUUAGAUACUGGCAGGCUAGAGUCCGGAAGAGGAAAGUGGAAUUCCUGGUGUAGCGGUGAAAUGCGCAGAUAUCAGGAAGAACACCAAUGGCGAAAGCAGCUUUCUGGGACGGUACUGACGCUGAGACGCGAAAGCGUGGGGAGCGAACAGG
rnacentral:rRNA from 1 species